rnacentral:rRNA from 1 species
UUGAAAGGGAAACGAUUGAAGUCAGUCGUACCUGCGGGUAAUCAGCCUUUUGGGUGUGAUUAUGUGGAGCGUGAGGAGCUAAACACCCUCAUCUUUGCAUAUUCGUGCACUUUGGGUGUACUUGCUCGUGUGGUAGGUUAACAUCAAUUUUGAUCGUCAUAAAAUGACUAGAGGAAUGUAGCUUCGAUCUCGUAUUGAAGUGUUAUAGCCUUUGGUAGAUGUGAUGAUUAGGAUUGAGGAUUGCAACGAAUACCCUUCGGGGCUAACUGUCUGAUCUCUGAAAGUUGCUCUGGUGCUGAAAGCUUGCUUAUGGUAUCAAAGUUGACGUUCAAUAGGAUAGAACGGGAUAAAUUCGUUAAGGAUGU